UAAAUUUUGGUUAAGUUAGAAAGGGCGCACGGUGAAUGCCUUGGCACUAGGAGCCGAAGAAGGACGCGACGAACGGCGAAACGCCUCGGGGAGCUGUAAGUGAGCUUUGAUCCGAGGAUAUCCGAAUGGGGGAACCCACUAUUCGUAAUGGAAUAGUACCCAUACCUGAAUACAUAGGGUAUGAGGAGGCAGACCUGGGGAACUGAAACAUCUAAGUACCCAGAGGAAGAGAAAGCAAAUGCGAUUACCUG
rnacentral:rRNA from 1 species